rnacentral:rRNA from 1 species
GAUGAACGCUGGCGGCGUGCCUAAUACAUGCCAGUAGAACGCUGAAGCUUGGUGCUUGCACCGAGCGGAUGAGUUGCGAACGGGUGAGUAACGCGUAGGUAACCUGCCUCUUAGCGGGGGAUAACUAUUGGAAACGAUAGCUAAUACCGCAUAAAAGUCGAUAUCGCAUGAUAUUGAUUUGAAAGGUGCAAAUGCAUCACUAAGAGAUGGACCUGCGUUGUAUUAGCUAGUUGGUGAGGUAACGGCUCACCAAGGCGACGAUACAUAGCCGACCUGAGAGGGUGAUCGGCCACACUGGGACUGAGACACGGCCCAGACUCCUACGGGAGGCAGCAGUAGGGAAUCUUCGGCAAUGGGGGCAACCCUGACCGAGCAACGCCGCGUGAGUGAAGAAGGUUUUCGGAUCGUAAAGCUCUGUUGUAAGAGAAGAACGAGUGUGAGAGUGGAAAGUUCACACUGUGACGGUAACUUACCAGAAAGGGACGGCUAACUACG